rnacentral:rRNA from 1 species
GACGAACGCUGGCGGCGUGCUUAACACAUGCAAGUCGAGCGGUAAGGCCCUUUCGGGGGUACACGAGCGGCGAACGGGUGAGUAACACGUGGGUGACCUGCCCUCAGCUCUGGGAUAAGCCUGGGAAACCGGGUCUAAUACUGGAUAUGACUCCAUGACGCAUGUUGUGGGGUGGAAAGCCUUGUGCGGCUGAGGAUGGGCCCGCGGCCUAUCAGCUUGUUGGUGGGGUGAUGGCCUACCAAGGCGACGACGGGUAGCCGGCCUGAGA